GAACAAGACAGCAGACCUUGUGCAAUGCACUCUCCCACGGGCCUCCCAUUCCAAUUUCCCCUUUUUAAGCCUUUCUCCCCAGCCUAAAGUUUUAAGAGGUUUCUGGAGGCGUAAGGAUUCUAUUUAUGUUUAAUGAACAAAAAAAUUAGUUUCAAUGAAAACUUUAUUUGAAAUGAUGAAUUCAAGCUAUUACCAGCCUCCCAAGUAAGAUGCCAGAGACUUCAAACACUGCUGUUGUUUCUCAAGGAAAAGAUCCAGUUAACAAGGAAUCAUUCUCUCUUCUUCAAUAGCUGCUUACGAAAUAAAAACAUCAGUAGGAGGGGAAGGAGGAAGGAAGGAGAAGAAAGAGGAAGAAUAGGAGGAGAAGAGGAAGAGAGGAAGAAGUGAACAGCCCUCCUGCAUUUUGCAUCAGGUAGAAAAGUCAGUUGAAUGUUGGGAAGAACACAAAUAACGGAGUCUUGCUCUAUUGCCAGGUUGGAGUGCAGUGGCGCGAUCUCAGCUCACUGCAACCUCCGCCUCCUGGAUUCAAGCAAUUCUCCUGCUUCAGCCUCCCGAGUAGCUGAGACUACAGCUCACACAUCCUCCCCAUUCUCUGAGUUCCCACAAAGACUGUUAUUGCUGGGGCUCAUAAAAUUAUACUCCAAAGUAUGAUGCUUUGGCAUCCAGAGUGCUUUGAACUAUAGGAGAUUGAAGGCCCCAGAAGCCAAGUUUCCCUCUGACCUCCUGCCUCCCUGUCUCCCACCCCCUACUUUUCCCCUGAAGUGAGUCCUGGAAACCAGAAUUCUUCUUGCCCAAAGCAAGCCGUGACACCCUGGAAAUAUCACUCUAACCUUCCUUGCCUUUCCGUGUGGCAGCUGGCCAUGAAGAAAUUCUCUGACCUACCUUGUUUGAUAGCAGAUCACAAGACCCUGGUUCCAGAGCGGUCCUGCUUUACACCGAAGGAAAGGAAUGUCAUACAGAAAGGCCAAGAAGAAUCUGAAGAGAUGUCCAAUCACCUUUUCACGUGGCUGCCCAUUCUUCAUUGAACCUAAGCAUUAAAAUAGACAGUUUCCCCUGGGUCUUUGGGUCUUCAUUUCUGAAGACUCCAUGUCAUGUAAAACUUUGAUUAAAUAAAUGUAUCAUGCAUUACUUUUGCUAACCUGUCUUUUGUUAUA
rnacentral:lncRNA from 1 species